GAUGAACGCUGGCGGCGUGCCUAAUACAUGCCAGUCGAGCGAACGGACGAGAAGCUUGCUUCUCUGAUGUUAGCGGCGGACGGGUGAGUAACACGUGGAUAACCUACCUAUAAGACUGGGAUAACUUCGGGAAACCGGAGCUAAUACCGGAUAAUAUUUUGAACCGCAUGGUUCAAAAGUGAAAGACGGUCUUGCUGUCACUUAUAGAUGGAUCCGCGCUGCAUUAGCUAGUUGGUAAGGUAACGGCUUACCAAGGCAACGAUGCAUAGCCGACCUGAGAGGGUGAUCGGCCACACUGGAGCUGAGACACGGUCCAGACUCCUACGGGAGGCAGCAGUAGGGAAUCUUCCGCAAUGGGCGAAAGCCUGACGGAGCAACGCCGCGUGAGUGAUGAAGGUCUUCGGAUCGUAAAACUCUGUUAUUAGGGAAGAACAUAUGUGUAAGUAACUGUGCACAUCUUGACGGUACCUAAUCAGAAAGCCACGGCUAACUACGUG
rnacentral:rRNA from 1 species